rnacentral:rRNA from 1 species
UACAGAGGUCCCAAGCGUUGUUCGGAUUCACUGGGCGUAAAGGGUGCGUAGGCGGUCGGGUAAGUCUGAUGUGAAAUCUCCAAGCUUAACUUGGAAAUGGCAUCGGAUACUAUUCGGCUCGAGGAAUGGAGGGGAGACUGGAAUACUUGGUGUAGCGGUGAAAUGCGUAGAUAUCGGGAGGAAUACCAGUGGCGAAGGCGGCUUUCUGGGUUACCACUGACGCUGAGGAGCGAAAGCGUGGGGAGCGAACGGG